GGCUGCAUUGCAGUGAUGAAACAAAGGCCUGAACUGUCUUAUACAGAAAGAAUCAGAUCCUAUAAAGACAAAAAAUGGCUAAAGCAGGGCUGGGAUGGACUUCAUGUGCCAGUUCAGAAACCUCAUGUCAAUCAUGAGACAAAAGUCCAUCUGAGUUGCUCUCUGCUGCCUGACACGCAAUAUGAUGCCCUGGACUGACCUGCCCCAUUACAAAAGGCUCAUCCAGCUCCAUCCAGCACCUUGGUGGGAUGCAGGCUUUAAGCAGAACAGGUCUCAAGGGGCCCUAAUCUGUGACGUGUGAUGAGAAAACUUACUGAGUACAUGGAUAGAAUCAGCUGCUUGCUCUCCUGCCCUCCACCCCAACAUAUCUGUAGUAUUCUGAAAAUGCAGGUGGGUGAGAAGCCCUUGUUUGAUACAGGGGCCAGAAGAGUGAGCCAGGAAGUGGGGAGCACUGCUUCACUUCCCUUCUCAGCAGAAGACGCAAACCUGCAGCAUCAGAGAGUGUGUAACAAUCCAGCUGCGUGCCUGGGAGAGGGCAGGAAAGAAAAGAGCAGGGCUGAAACAGCUAUCCUGAAGAUGCGGGAGAGGGGGGGGCCUCUGGGCUAGUGCUGAUAUGUCAGUAAUCUGCUUCUGCUUUCAGGUUUGUUUCAGCAAACACCGAGCGAGGAGGCAGCUCAGCCACCGGCCCUGCACCCAGCGCUGACAGGAACACUGCGGCAAGUGACGUCAGGGCAGCUGCGUGUCCUCAUCUGCAGGGCACGGCCUGCUGACGUGCGGCCCUCCUGUGCCAUCAGUCACGCGUGCUACAUUCCGACAGAAGAGGGCCUCCCAGCUUCACCUUCAGCGAGGCGGGUCCUGAGGUGUGGGGGUAGGAGCGCCAACGUGUUCUGAUCGAGUAAAGCGGGUCUGGCUGAUGAGAUACGUAAAGAAAAGAAGAAACUCUGAGGCUGCUCUUGAGUUCAGAUUCAGCUGUACAGCCUAGCUGAAGCCCAGCACGAGAUAGAAGCAGUGUGAGGACAUGCCAUGCAUUAGCCUUCCCCCAGCAAUGUGAGGAGACACCUUGCAAUACUUUGCAACAGGGUAUUGUGGAACCUACACGAGUUCAUCCUGGCAGUGACAGAAUCACCACAGAGUUGAGAAUGUUGUGACACUGACUUGAAUGACCAUCCGAAGGGAAAUUCAUAUGUCCUAAUACAACAGUGCCAGAGAAGGAUUUUUAACAUAUAUGUGCUGAUAUUCAAGACCUGCCCAGAUGCUUCCCUGUGCAACCUACUGUAGGGAACUUGCUUUAGGAGGGGGUUGGAAUCAAGUAUUCCAGAGAUCCCUUCUAACACCUAUGAUUCUGUGAUUCUAUGAUACACUUAUUUUCUCUACAGUUUGGAAUAAAAU
rnacentral:lncRNA from 1 species